AAAUAAAAUAAAAUAAAAGGGCCAGAACCGAACAUUUUCACAUAAUUUUUGGGCCCUUUGUGAUCCAUUUUUAGGACCACCAUUAGCUCUUAUCCCAGGGCUAAUAAAUUGACUUUUAUGACUGGUCAUGAGAAGCUCGUAAAAUUUGCAUAUGACUGUGAAUUGUGAAUGGGGUUUGUGCCUUUAAGUCGAAGGAGGAGUCCUUCAUCGGAUGACGGUUUUUCGCGUGACAUUUGCAUUUCAGUUCAGUUCAGUGAAGUUGAGUCGACUGUUUGGACCCGAGGGUCCGAUGACAUUUCAUUAGUCGUUGGCAGCCGUUCUUGGGUCACAUAAUAACGUGUGCCAUUGUUUUUCAUUGUCGUUUUAUGUGCUGUUUAUAUUUUUAUGGCAUGCCAUAUAGUAUUUAAUAUUUAUAUUAUAUAUGAAGCACAUGCGACAGACCCUUUCCAUUCGUAUCAUGUCUGCGAUAAAACAGUUUUAUUCGUUAGGAACUUUUAGGGACAGCUCAACUU